UACAGAGGUCUCAAGCGUUGUUCGGAUUCAUUGGGCGUAAAGGGUGCGUAGGUGGCGGGGCAAGUUGGAUGUGAAAUCCCGGAGCUUAACUCCGGAACUGCAUUCAAUACUGCCUUGCUAGAGUACUGGAGAGGAGAUUGGAAUUUACGGUGUAGCAGUGAAAUGCGUAGAUAUCGUAAGGAAGACCAGUGGCGAAGGCGGAUCUCUGGACAGUUACUG
rnacentral:rRNA from 1 species